CAGAGGGUGCAAGCGUUGUUCGGAAUUAUUGGGCGUAAAGCGCGUGUAGGCGGUUUGGUAAGUCAGACGUGAAAGCCCUCGGCUUAACCGAGGAAGUGCAUCUGAUACUGCUUUAUUUGAGUGUCGGAGGGGAUGGCGGAAUUCCCGGUGUAGAGGUGAAAUUCGUAGAUAUCGGGAGGGACACCCGUGGCGAAGGCGGCCAUCUGGAAGACAACUGACGCUGAGACGCGAAAGCGUGGGGAGCAAACAGGAUUAGAUACCCUGGUAGUCCACGCUGUAAACGAUGAGUGCUAGAUGUUGCGGGUAUUGACCCCUGCAGUGUCAAAGCCAACGCGUUAAGCACCCCGCCUGGGGAGUACGGUCGCAAGAUUA
rnacentral:rRNA from 1 species